rnacentral:lncRNA from 1 species
CACAGUGUGUCCUGAAUUUUAACAGAAUUGUGAGAAAAUUGAGCUCCAAAUGAUCAAAUUCAGCAAUGACAAUAGUUUUAGAUGUGGAAUAAGUAUUUCAGCUCUACUUCUUGAGGAGAAAGGUUUCGGAUUGAUAGCUUUUAGUAUUAAGGAUAAAGAUUUCUGGAUCCAUUUCUAAUGCCCCAAAGGAUUCAAUUUAUAACAAAAAUCCUAGGGCAUCAGAUUUUACUAGUUUUUCUUUUAGUCCUCAAUUCAGCUUGUG